AGUGAACGCUGGCGGUAGGCCUAACACAUGCAAGUCGAACGGCAGCACAGAGGAGCUUGCUCCUUGGGUGGCGAGUGGCGGACGGGUGAGGAAUACAUCGGAAUCUACUUUUUCGUGGGGGAUAACGUAGGGAAACUUACGCUAAUACCGCAUACGACCUACGGGUGAAAGCAGGGGAUCUUCGGACCUUGCGCGAUUGAAUGAGCCGAUGUCGGAUUAGCUAGUUGGCGGGGUAAAGGCCCACCAAGGCGACGAUCCGUAGCUGGUCUGAGAGGAUGAACAGCCACACUGGAACUGAGACACGGUCCAGACUCCUACGGGAGGCAGAAGUGGGGAAUAUUGGACAAUGGGCGCAAGCCUGAUCCAGCCAUACCGCGUGGGUGAAGAAGGCCUUCGGGUUGUAAAGCCCUUUUGUUGGGAAAGAAAUCCAGCCGGCUAAUACCUGGUUGGGAUGACGGUACCCAAAGAAUAAGCACCGGCUAACUUCGUGCCAGCCGCCGCCGUAAAAC
rnacentral:rRNA from 1 species